rnacentral:rRNA from 1 species
AUGCGCUCCCUCCAUGUCUCCUCCUGCGCCUCCGGUGGCCAGACGCCUCUUCCACUCCGGCCGAGAUGUUUGAAGAAGGGGCUAGAGACAAACUGUCCAAUUUGUUGUGACUUCCUAUUCACAUCAAGCAAGGAAGUUAGAGCUGUUCUUUCUGGUCACUCCAUGCAUUCAACUUGCUUGCAGGCAUACACUUGCAGUCACUACACUUGUACUAUCUACGGCAAAUCCUUCGGGGAUAUGGCGAUAAAUGUUGGAUCAGCUGACCCUGUCAUUAUCUCAUUCCACCCCAACACCACGGUCAAACGGUCUGCAGCCACACCUGGUCACCAUCGAGUUUCAGGUAACCACGACAAGUCAACGAUCUUCCAUUGCCUUCCGCUCAAUUUUGUUUGGAUGGUGCGUGAUUCCUUUCAUCGAGUCUUCAAUAAACCAAAGAGUUACCAGAGUAGUUAA